UGGUGGAGCGAUUUGUCUGGUUAAUUCCGAUAACGAACGAGACUCUGGCCUACUAACUAGAUGUAGGAUCCCUUUGUGGGUCCGUCACUGCUUCUUAGAGGGACGGGCGGCUUUUAGCCGCACGAGAAUGAGCAAUAACA
rnacentral:rRNA from 1 species